AAGAAAAAUAAAAUAAAAA
rnacentral:sRNA from 1 species